UGGUGGAGUGAUUUGUCUGGUUAAUUCCGAUAACGAACGAGACCUUAACCUGCUAAAUAGUUACAUUAACGAAUGUUGGUGGUUAACUUCUUAGAGGGACUAAAUGUAUUUAACAUUUGGAAGUUUGAGGCAAUAACA
rnacentral:rRNA from 1 species